GCACACCCACACACAGUAAAGCCUAAAACACACACACUAUACACAUCAUCAUCAUCAUCAUCAUCAUCAGCAGCAGCAGCAGCAACAGCAGCAGCAGGAAGAGCAGUGUUCUUCAGGAUGUGUUGAGCUGAACACUGACUCUCAUUUCAUUUGGAGAGACGAUGAUGAUGUGGAUUUUGAACCUGCUAUGUAGCUUAUAUAAGAAGAGAAAUGAAGAAUAGUUACUGGGAAGGCACAGCAGCAGGACUUCUUUUAACCUUUGCACUGGAUCACGUUAUAUUGGCGCUGCAAACAAAGUCUGGACUCGUGCGCUCAGCUGAAGUUCAUUCAGCGUCACAACAUGUGUGAGAAAAGCGAUAAUCCCGCUGGAAUAAACGAAGUUUGUCCAACAGCACAAACGAACAGCUCCGAUCUGAACUCUGUUUCCACUCGCGUGUACAAGAGGAGAUGGAUCAUCGUGUUUCUCUUCAGCUCAUAUUCACUCUGCAACGCGUUCCAGUGGAUCCAGUAUGGAAGCAUCAACAACAUCUUCAUGAAGUUUUACGACGUCACUUCAUUCACCAUCGACUGGCUCUCCAUGAUCUUCAUGUUAACUUACAUUCCCUUCAUCUUUCCAGUGACAUGGCUGUUGGAGAGGAAAGGCUUGCGCGUGGUCGCGCUGCUGGCCGCCUCAAUCAAUUGCGCGGGCACGUGGAUCAAAGUGACCAGCGUUCAGCCCGGUCUCUUCUGGGUCACAAUGCUUGGACAGUUCGCCUCGGCGUUCGCGCAGGUGUUCAUCCUGGGAAUGCCGUCUCACAUCGCGUCUGUGUGGUUCGGCUCGGACGAGGUAUCCACCGCCUGCGCCAUUGGUGUUUUUGGAAACCAGCUCGGCAUUGCCAUUGGCUUUCUGUUGCCGCCGGUUCUGGUGCCGAAUGUAGAUGACAUGAAUGAGCUGUCACAUCACAUCAGAAUCAUGUUUUACAUCACUGCUACUGUGGCCACCGUCAUCUUUCUGCUGGUCGUGUUUGUGUUUCAGGAUAAACCUGAAGUUCCUCCAUCACAGUCUCAGGCAUCGCUCAGACUCACACCCGCAGGUCAGACCUCAUAUCUGGAGUCGAUCAAGAGACUGAUGUCUAACAGAGCCUUCAUCAUUCUCCUCAUCAGCUAUGGACUGAAUGUUGGCUGUUUUUACUCAGUUUCCACCCUGUUGAAUCGGAUGAUAAUGGAGCAUUACCCUGGUGAAGAGGUGAAUGCUGGGAGAAUUGGAUUGACUCUUGUCAUCGCUGGUAUGGUCGGAUCUCUCAUCUCUGGAAUCUGGUUAGACAAGACCAAGACUUACAAACAGACGACGCUUGCGGUUUAUAUCCUCUCUUUUGUGGGGAUGGUCGUCUACUCUUUCACCCUGAACUUAGGUUUUCUGUGGAUUGUGUUCCUCACAUCAGGAGCUCUGGGGUUCUUCAUGACGGGUUAUCUGCCAUUAGGAUUUGAGUUUGCCGUUGAGCUGACGUAUCCAGAAUCUGAGGGAACAUCAUCAGGAUUACUCAACUGUUCAGCACAGAUAUUUGGAAUCAUGUUUACCAUCAUUCAAGGCAAAAUCAUUGAUAACUUAGGCACAUUAGCCGGAAACAUCUUCCUCUGUGUCUUCCUCUUCAUCGGCUCAAUCCUGACAGCGUUUAUAAAAUCUGACCUGCGGAGACAGAAGGCCAACCAUCAAUCUCAGACUGAGACAAACCCUUUUUAUGGGUCUACAGUACCUUACAGCCUCUUCCAGGAGGAGUCAUCAGAUUAAACAUUACAGCGUCAGUGCUACAGAACAAAGAAAUGAAUAUAGGUUUAUAACAACAUGAGGGAAUCAAAUGCACAUGUUGAAGAUGGAGGAGGAUCAGUCGUGAAGGAGGUGAAGAUGUGAAGUGUGACACAGGCUUCACAGAUAAAGACGUUCAGUUCAGAGACUUUGUGUUCCUGUAGUUUAAAAGGUCAUGGGUUCGAUCCCAGGGAACACACAUACUGAUAAUGUAUUUCUAGUCAUGCACUGUAAGUCGCUUUGGAUAAAAGCGUUUGCCAAAACGCACAAUUGUGAUUGAAACGCUUGUGGUGUGAAGUUGUCCACCAGAACCCACAGCAUGUAAUUCAGAAAACCUUUACACCAGUGGUUCUCAAACGUUUUGUGCUGCUCCCCUCGUGUACGGUGCAUCAGAAUUCAUGAUAAAUUAAUGUAUUUGAUCAAACAUCUCAGUUUGAGAACCACUGCUUUACACAACCAGAUCACUGACUGAAAAUAUAUGUGAGAGGUCAAUGUGUGUAUUAAGGUCUUGUGCUUUUAUUUAUUUACAUUAGAUAUUUUAUCCAGAAAGGUAUAAAGCCAUACCGAAGACUGAAGUAAAUAUUUUAUUCAGUGAUAUUUCUAGCUAAACUAGAUUAUUAUUUUUUUAAUUAUACUUAUCUGUUAACCAGACAGUAAAUGAUUUGCAAAAAAACAUUUUCCCAGUCUUUCAGAGUUAUUUUUUCUUCAGUAUGUAUGUAAAUUGUUUGAAUGAUAGUUUCUUUCCCAAACUAAAUGAAUCAAACCUAUUUAUUAAUCUAUCGGAAUUCAUUAUUUUUUCUCAUGUAAGAAAGCCAGUGUCAUCCAGUAGCAGACAGAGAUCUGAUCAGUCUGUGAGGAUUAUAAAGUGAUGCUGGCCAUUACAGUUUUGUUAUGGAAGGUCAAUAUCCUCUAAAACAGACAUCAAAACCUAACAUUUUGAAAAUAUUUAUUUAUUUGUUAGUUUCUUUCAUGCAAUUAUAUUGCAUUAUACACUUUAAAAGUACUUUUGAUUUAUUUAUUGCAUGGGUGUCCCAGAAUGAUCAGGUCCACUCGGUUAAAAGAGUUUCCCUUAGUUAGAACCCAAAGUGAUUCUAUUGGACUUUGUAAGAGUAGCUGAUUAUUUUGUCUUAUUACACGGCUCUCUGGAAUGCUUGAUUCUGAUUGGUCAGUUGAGACAUUUGCAGGUUCGUUCUUUUCGAAUAAUAACCGCUCCAAAAUAAUAACGCAUAGCCGGUACUACUUUUACGAGAAAGAUCGCUCCGCGCCAAUAAAGAUUACUGUUUGUUUGGCGCCAUCUUGUGACAAACACUGGACAACCACGACAAGACACAGAGAGCUUACUGAGACUGAACUUGACAAAAUAGAGCAUGACAGCUACGAAGCCAACACACAAAAAAAUACAGAAUGGGCAUUAAAACUUCUCAAAGACUGGCUAAAAGAGAAAAAAAUGGAGACAGACAAGUAUGAAGCAGAGGAUCUUAAUAAGGUAUUACGAUCAUUUUAUGCAUCUGUGCAAAGUUUCGCGGAAGGAUAAAUAAUGUUAAUUUAAAACAAAUAUGCCAAUAAAAUGUUUCAAAUUCAUAUUCAUGUCCAGUUUUUUUUCUUAUGUGACAAGUAGCCGUGUAAUAAGCGGGAUAAUGUAGAGUCAGCCGGUAGUUAUCGGGAAAUAAGCCCCU